rnacentral:pre_miRNA from 1 species
AGGAGGAACAAGAACAGUGGCGAGGCCAGCUCUGGAGCCCUGGAUUCAGCUCCCACAGUAACUACAGAGCUCUCAGUCUGCAGUUGCCUGGAUCCUCUGGUGGCGC